ACAAAGCACGUCAAGAGGUUCAAAACAAAGAAACUGAAACUGAAGGUCCACUUUCAAGUGAGCAGAAAAACAAUAUUUUCCAGACCGCAUACAAAGAGACUCUGAAAUGCAAGUCAUCGCAGCCUUGUGGGUACGGAUACAUGGCCAAACCUUCAACUGGUUCUCAAAGGUUUCGUAUCCAGGUUGAAGAGCAAGCUCGUGCUACAGCAGCCACCCAACAGCAAAACUCUGAGCUCAGCCAGCAGGUCAACGAAUUACAAGAUCAACUACAAGCUGAACGUGCAAACACACAAGAGAGGAUUAACUUGGAGUGUACUGAGAGAGAACAACUUGAGGAGAGGUUAAAAGAAGGGCAUGCUGAAAGGGAAAGAUUGUUGGAAUAGGAGCGGACAUCAAGACCGGAAUUUGAAAAAAACAUGAUGCCAAAGUUUGUAGCAUUGAGCCAACAGAUGGGAACCCAACAGGUGCCUAAGGAUUGACAAAGAAAAUAGUAACCCAAACUUGCAAAAUACAGUUUUAUAGAGACCUAGUCCUAAUAAGACUCCAGUUCAAGGCCAAUUAUUAUUUCUUCAAAUGCGCUCAUACAAGCUGCAACAAGGAAUUCUCGAAUGUUUAAAGCAAUGGAUCCAAAGAACUAGCUGGCCUGGACUCUAGAUCACGGACCGUUUAGUCUUUGCAAUUAAUUAGGAUGGCUAAAUUAUAUCUGAGUUUCAUUUUAUGGAUAUUUGCUACGAGAAUUAUGAACUUUAUGAAUCUACAUAUUAUACGUAUGGUUUUGAAAUUGUAAUUGAAUGCAUGUAUUUUUUUUACGGUUGCAAUAUGCUACAACCCACUUUCGGUUGCCACAAGCACCACCAAAAAAAGUGUUGCGUCA